UCUGCCCCAGAGGCAUUACAGGUGUGGCUGCUAUGUCAAUGUGCAUCAGCAGAUGGCAGAGAGGAGAGAGGCUUAUGUCUUACACUCAGUGCUCUGACCUAGGAACAUCUGAAUGAUUAGGAGCCUAAAUUU
rnacentral:snoRNA from 1 species